rnacentral:rRNA from 1 species
AACGAACGCUGGCGGCAUGCCUAACACAUGCAAGUCGAACGAGACCUUCGGGUCUAGUGGCGCACGGGUGCGUAACGCGUGGGAACCUGCCCUUAGGUUCGGAAUACUCCCCGAAAGGGGUGCUAAUACCGGAUAAUGUCUUCGGACCAAAGAUUUAUCGCCUUUGGAUGGGCCCGCGUUGGAUUAGCUAGUUGGUAGGGUAAAAGCCUACCAAGGCGACGAUCCAUAGCUGGUCUGAGAGGAUGAUCAGCCACACUGGGACUGAGACACGGCCCAGACUCCUACGGGAGGCAGCAGUGGGGAAUAUUGGACAAUGGGCGAAAGCCUGAUCCAGCAAUGCCGCGUGAGUGAUGAAGGCCUUAGGGUUGUAAAGCUCUUUUACCCGGGAUGAUAAUGACAGUACCGGGAGAAUAAGCGCCGGCUAACUCCGUG